rnacentral:rRNA from 1 species
CGAACGAUGAAGCCUUUCGGGGUGGAUUAGUGGCGAACGGGUGAGUAACACGUGGGCAAUCUGCCCUUCACUCUGGGACAAGCCCUGGAAACGGGGUCUAAUACCGGAUAACACUCUGUCCUGCAUGGGACGGGGUUAAAAGCUCCGGCGGUGAAGGAUGAGCCCGCGGCCUAUCAGCUUGUUGGUGGGGUAAUGGCCUACCAAGGCGACGACGGGUAGCCGGCCUGAGAGGGCGACCGGCCACACUGGGACUGAGACACGGCCCAGACUCCUACGGGAGGCAGCAGUGGGGAAUAUUGCACAAUGGGCGAAAGCCUGAUGCAGCGACGCCGCGUGAGGGAUGACGGCCUUCGGGUUGUAAACCUCUUUCAGCAGGGAAGAAGCGAAAGUGACGGUACCUGCAGAAGAAGCGCCGGCUAACUACGUGCCAGCAGCCGCGGUAAUACGUAGGGCGCAAGCGUUGUCCGGAAUUAUUGGGCGUAAAGAGCUCGUAGGCGGCUUGUCACGUCGGAUGUGAAAGCCCGGGGCUUAACCCCGGGUCUGCAUUCGAUACGGGCUAGCUAGAGUGUGGUAGGGGAGAUCGGAAUUCCUGGUGUAGCGGUGAAAUGCGCAGAUAUCAG